UACACAUAACGGUGGAGCUUUUCAUUGGAAUAAUGGAAAGUUUUUCGCAGUUGGAAAAAUAUAUUUGUCAGUCAAAUUUUUGUGGUUAACAGCGUGUGUGUAUGUGUCCGUGUAAAGUUAUUUUAACUUCAUUGAGACAUACGACCAGUUAAAAAGAAGGGAAAAGCUUCCAACACAUACGCACCACAACGACAUUGUACCUCUAACCGCGCUCGCGUAGGCAAUCUAUUCAACAAAGGGAAGAAGAAGACAAAUACUGCAUUGUGUGUGUGGUGUGCCUUUCGUAGUCACCGCCGCAGUUGCCAUAAGCAAGGAAAUCAAAUUUUGCGUUUAGUGUUUGGAAUCUUAAGCACUUCUUCACUUCUCUGCCUCCUCAUUUUGGCAUAAAGCCGCACAGUUUUUAAGAAAAAUGGCGGAUCCAGCACCAGCAUCUGAUGCUCCUCCAGCUGAUGGAGCACCAGCCGGUGAGGGUGGAGAUGGUGAGAUUGUUGGAGGACCACGUAAUCCCCAACAAAUUGCGGCACAAAAACGACUGCAACAAAC